rnacentral:lncRNA from 1 species
UAGAAAAGUCUCUGGUACAAUAGGCUUGAUGUGGUGAAACAAAGGGGCAGAGUGAGCUGGAUCUCUGGUCACUGCCUGUUCUUUACAUGUGACCUUCGAUAUAUUUUCCAAUAUUCCAUACCUAGAUUUCCAAAAGUUAAAUGAGGAUAUUAUUAUCCAUCCUUGGAAGGUAAUUGUGUUGAUUAGAUAAGAUACAAUGUGUACAGUGCUUAGAAAACAGUUCCUGAGCCCUAGAAGUCUCUAGUAAAUGAUCUGCUUCCAUUACCUAAAUGAUGCCUGCACCUAGUGGGUGAAACAAAAGUCCUCUGUGUAGCCAGUUAGUGUGGGGCAGAAGUAGUGGCUUCUUAUCAGCCAUGCACAGACUGUGAUGAAGAAGAGGCAAGUGACCUGGAGGAAAGAGACAAGCCCAUGGAAGGUAGGUAGAAAACCUACAAAAACACAGGAGUCGGAGAUGUUUAGCACAGUGGCAAAAAUCUCAGUACACCUGAGUGGGCUCUGCAGCCAGUACUACACGCAACAGUUGAGCAUGGUUACGUGGAUAAUCAAAUUUGGAUUUCGUUGAUCCUGGUUGAAUGAAGAAAUAUUCAACUGUGUUCAAAGUGCUCUUAAGAAGACAGGGGAAAUUAGUAAAAUAUGUUAGAUAGAUUGCCAUCAAAACACAUUAACAGAUUGGCAUUAAAAUGAGAGUUUUCAGCAACCUAGAAAGUACACAUGGGAUGCUCAUGAUUUCUCAUCUGUGAUUAGUCAGUGUUGUGUGGUCUCAGCAUGAGAUUGCACCCUGCAGAUGCAGUUGGCAUUUUUCAUGGGCUUGCAGAUGAUGAACUCCCGAAGUGACUCUCCCACUCUGUGGCCAGGGAGGCUGAGAGAUCCUGGAGCUACCCAUGAUGUGCUUGCAAGUCCAUGUACAUGCUGGCAGAUAGGAGGGCUGACUAAAUUCCAUGGCUGUUCCACACUUUCACUGAUAUUUUGAAUAUAUGCAACUGCUUUAUGAUCGUGCAAUACAAACUUAUUUAAAAGGGCAAAUUUAUUAAAAAGGUUGAAUACAUUUUAUUUUAGAUAUAAAUACUGAGAUUGUUACAUUUUAUUUAUUUAGAUUAGACAGCUUACAUAUUUAGAUCUUAUUUAGAUUUUGAUUGAUUAAGAUUUAAAAUUUGUUAAAAAGAUCUAUUAAAUUCACAGAAGCUUUUUGUCUUUAGGUGUUUAUCUUAAUCAAUGAACAGAGAGAUAAGGAGUUUCUGAAAAUUGACUAAGAGGUUGGGAGCUCUGUUUUAUAUAAAAUUAUCCAUAUUAGUAAUCAUAAAAAUGGAGCUACUAGAUAUUGAUCCAUCCACUUUUUUUGGGGGGGGUAGUACUGUGUGAGAGGCAUCUUACAAGUAUUAUGUUACAUUCACAAUUCUAGGAUGUAGG